rnacentral:miRNA from 1 species
ACAACAGUGACUUGCUCUCCAA